rnacentral:rRNA from 1 species
GAUUAAGUUAUUAAGGGCGCACGGUGGAUGCCUUGGCACUAGAAGCCGAUGAAGGACGUUACUAACGACGAUAUGCUUUGGGGAGCUGUAAGUAAGCUUUGAUCCAGAGAUUUCCGAAUGGGGAAACCCAGCAUGAGUUAUGUCAUGUUAUCGAUAUGUGAAUACAUAGCAUAUCAGAAGGCACACCCGGAGAACUGAAACAUCUUAGUACCCGGAGGAAGAGAAAGAAAAUUCGAUUCCCUUAGUAGCGGCGAGCGAAACGGGAAGAGCCCAAACCAACAAGCUUGCUUGUUGGGGUUGUAGGACACUCUAUACGGAGUUACAAAGGACGACAUUAGACGAAUCAUCUGGAAAGAUGAAUCAAAGAAGGUAAUAAUCCUGUAGUCGAAAAUGUUGUCUCUCUUGAGUGGAUCCUGAGUACGACGGAGCACGUGAAAUUCCGUCGGAAUCUGGGAGGACCAUCUCCUAAGGCUAAAUACUCUCUAGUGACCGAUAGUGAACCAGUACCGUGAGGGAAAGGUGAAAAGCACCCCGGAAGGGGAGUGAAAUAGAACCUGAAACCGUGUGCUUACAAGUAGUCAGAGCCCGUUAAUGGGUGAUGGCGUGCCUUUUGUAGAAUGAACCGGCGAGUUACGAUUUGAUGCAAGGUUAAGCAGUAAAUGUGGAGCCGUAGCGAAAGCGAGUCUGAAUAGGGCGUUUAGUAU